CCUACGGGAGGCUGCAGUGGGGAAUAUUGGACAAUGGGGGCAACCCUGAUCCAGCCAUGCCGCGUGUGUGAAGAAGGCCCUCGGGUUGUAAAGCACUUUCAGUGAGGAAGAACGCCUGGUGGUUAAUACCCAUCAGGAAAGACAUCACUCACAGAAGAAGCACCGGCUAACUCCGUGCCAGCAGCCGCGGUAAUACGGAGGGUGCGAGCGUUAAUCGGAAUUACUGGGCGUAAAGCGCGCGUAGGUGGCUUGAUAAGCCGGUUGUGAAAGCCCCGGGCUCAACCUGGGAACGGCAUCCGGAACUGUCAAGCUAGAGUGUAGGAGAGGAAGGUAGAAUUCCCGGUGUAGCGGUGAAAUGCGUAGAGAUCGGGAGGAAUACCAGUGGCGAAGGCGGCCUUCUGGACUGACACUGACACUGAGGUGCGAAAGCGUGGGUAGCAAACAGGAUUAGAUACCCGUGUAGUC
rnacentral:rRNA from 1 species